ACGGGUGAGUAACACGUUGGAACCUGCCCCAAAGUAAGGGAUAAGCCACCGAAAGGUGGUCUAAUACCUUAUAGUAUCCAUCUCGUAUGGAUUAAAGCUUUAUGCGCUUUGGGAGGGGCCUGCGUUUGAUUAGCUAGUUGGUGAGGUAAAAAGCUCACCAAGGCGACGAUCAAUAGCUGGUUUGAGAGGAUGACCAGCCACACUGGGACUGAGAUACGGCCCAGACUCCUACGGGAGGCAGCAGUAAGGAAUCUUCCACAAUGGGGCAACCCUGAUGGAGCAAUACCGCGUGCAGGAUGAAGCGUUUCGGCGUGUAAACUGCUUUUAUCACCGAAGAUUAUGACUGUAGGUGAAGAAUAAGGACCGGCUAACUACGUG
rnacentral:rRNA from 1 species